GUUGGGCGUGGUGGCGUACUUCUGUAAUCCCAGCGGCUCUGGAGGCUGAGGUAGGAGGAUCGCAAGUUCAAAGCCACCCUCAGCAAUGGCAAGGUUCUAAGCAAUUCAGUGAGACCCUGUCUCUA
rnacentral:sRNA from 1 species